GGGCUGGGAGAUAGUUUUUAUCCAAAGUUUAAUAGGGCUGCCCGCAAACUCCGCAAGCCUUUAGGUAGACCACUUGUUCCACUGCUCAAUAGUCUUGCGGCCGGUUUGGUUUUCGCCGUCUGGGCAUCGUUAAAACGGACCCAAUCUUGCUCGCCGAAGUUCAGCAAUUCUCUCCAUGAUUUAUGACCAGCAGGAAUAUGCUGCCCAAGUGGAUCGAAUAUCCAGAUAUUCUCACAUAGAAUGUUGUUUUCUGUCGCAGCUCCCUGUAACGAUUCUAGGAUCUCAGGCUCGGAAAUCAGGAAUUUGCUCUUCGAUGUCUUGAUAUGAUGGGACAAUUCCGCCGUUGGAUAUGCUGGGUUUGUGCCAGUGUAGACACCACUAGCACCAAUGAUUGCAAGUACAAGCAGGCAAUACAGGAUCUUUCGCGUUGUUUAGUCUUGAACGCUUAUUUUUGUUGGCUUCGUUUCUUCUUUGAAAGAAUGUAUAGCAAUGCAAUAUCCUUCCUGCGCACCGGCUGCCCUGAAUCCCACAAUAAGCUUUCGAAUGAUGCUUCGAGCCUUGUUGCAUGAUAUGGAUCGUGAUGGAUUAUGGACGAUGUAUGCAGAAAACCACUCUCAAUUAGUUUUAAGCUGUUUGUCGGGGUUGAAUUCAUAGAGGGAGCCCUAGACGUAUUGCAUUAUACAACACAAUGCACUCACCGGCUUAUUCUGGUCAUAUGCAGGCUUAUCGAAGAUAUAAGAUAGAAUAUCUUUUGUUGGAAUGUUAAUGUGCGUUUCUGCCUUGAAAACCAUCAUUGCGAUUGUCGAUUGAGCUAAUGUCUUAUUGAAAUAUUUAUCAUUUGAUUUGGACGCCAAAGUCAAUUAUUCCCGAGCUUCGUAAUCAUCACGGCUCAGGGUUCAUGGAGUUUAGAAGCAGGAAAGAGAAGGUCACAAAGCAACCGCGAUC
rnacentral:lncRNA from 1 species